rnacentral:rRNA from 1 species
AUGGGGGGCCCAUCCUCCAAGGCUAAAUACUCCUGACUGACCGAUAGUGAACCAGUACCGUGAGGGAAAGGCGAAAAGAACCCCGGCGAGGGGAGUGAAAAAGAACCUGAAACCGUGUACGUACAAGCAGUGGGAGCACGCUUAGGCGUGUGACUGCGUACCUUUUGUAUAAUGGGUCAGCGACUUAUAUUCUGUAGCAAGGUUAACCGAAUAGGGGAGCCGAAGGGAAACCGAGUCUUAACUGGGCGUUAAGUUGCAGGGUAUAGACCCGAAACCCGGUGAUCUAGCCAUGGGCAGGUUGAAGGUUGGGUAACACUAACUGGAGGACCGAACCGACUAAUGUUGAAAAAUUAGCGGAUGACUUGUGGCUGGGGGUGAAAGGCCAAUCAAACCGGGAGAUAGCUGGUUCUCCCCGAAAGCUAUUUAGGUAGCGCCUCGUGAAUUCAUCUCCGGGGGUAGAGCACUGUUUCGGCAAGGGGGUCAUCCCGACUUACCAACCCGAUGCAAACUGCGAAUACCGGAGAAUGUUAUCACGGGAGACACACGGCGGGUGCUAACGUCCGUCGUGAAGAGGGAAACAACCCAGACCGCCAGCUAAGGUCCCAAAGUCAUGGUUAAGUGGGAAACGAUGUGGGAAGGCCCAGACAGCCAGGAUGUUGGCUUAGAAGCAGCCAUCAUUUAAAGAAAGCGUAAUAGCUCACUGGUCGAGUCGGCCUGCGCGGAAGAUGUAACGGGGCUAAACCAU